UUUUUAUUGACAAAGGCCCUUCAGUGGUAAGUGUUGGAGAACAGAUAUUCCCUCUGCCUGCAUUAAAUGGGGUGAAAGGGGGUCAGACCUUCCUUUCACGGAGUAGUUUACGCCCUAUCACAAGGUAAAAACUAAACUCUUUCUUCCCGUUUUACCACUCUGAGUGUCAAAAGACUGACACUCUCAGCCAAUCACCAUUCCUGACUCACGUGUUACGAAAAGACUGACACUCUCAGCCAAUCAUCAUUCCUGACUCACGUGUUACGUGGGAUUAUCAGCAAGUCUUCCAGGCGCCAGAGUUUAUCGGCUAUUCAGAAUAAGAAUAUAGUCAAAUUGACUGGAUUAUAUUGUUGAUAUAGCAAUUAAUGGUAUAACGUUUAACAACUACUACUGAUAGAGUUAAUUAAAGGGUUUCUCUACAUCCAACCCUUAAUGGUGCCCCUCUAAUAAUAAUUUGGAUAGGAUUAACCAAAUAAAUCAGCUAAUUUAAUUAUUCCAGUAAUUAAUCAAUACAUUAUCUUGAAUAUUAAUUAGCCAAAAGUCACAACAUAACUGUGUAUUAUGGUGUUUGUGUUGUAUACAGGCCUACUGUAUGCUAUUACUGAAUGAGCAUCUGUCAGUGGUGGUUUUCGUAAGGUUGUCUAAGUUAAACCAUAGUGCUACAGAGCGAAAUGUUACUAAGCUUUACGGCAGAGGAGGCUGGUGGGGGGAGCUAUAGGAGGAAGGGCUCCUUGUAAUGGCUGAAAUGGUACAGUAUUAAUGGAACGGUAUCAAACAUGUCAAACAUAUGGAAACAACACGUUUGACUCCGUUCCAUUUAUUCCAUUCCAGCCAUUCCAGUGCACCCGUCCUCCUCUAGCUGCUCCCAGCAGCCUCCUCUGUAUUAUGGUAAACAGAAAAUAGAAACAUUGCAGAGCGUUGUAAUCUUGAAUCUAGCCCAGGCCUGUGUGUGUGCCAUGGUGCAGCUGCUCCCCACAGAGGGACAGAGUUACAUCUGAAGGACACAGCUGAGCUCUUACAAAUCUACCUCCUUCCUCUCUCUCAUCCCCCCUCUCACCCCAACUCUCUCUCUCUCUCUCUCUUUCCUUCUUUUUAAAAAUUUCUUUCUCUCUUUCUUCAAAAGUGCAAACUCAAAAUCCUCUUCCCUCACUUACUCAACACCAUUCAUCAGAUGUGUAGAAUUUUUAAAAUGAGCAGAUCUUUUCCUAAACGAAAUUCAACACUGACAGUAAAUGACAAAAAUACUUCAUUUUUUUGUAUACAGAAACAAUCGGAGCUCAGAGUACCCCAUGUCCAGGCAUCAUUUUGCAUCAUUACAUAGGGAAGACCACUGAAGAUGUUGUGUUUUUUUGAGUCAUCAUGUAAUCUGUAAGUAGAGUAGAGGCGCGGUAGACCAAAUCCACCUCCUCCAGCUCUAGAGUUACAGCACUGGAUACAUCCUGAUCCCAUCCAUAGUUAUACUGAUGCACCUAAAUCAUUAUCUGGUCAUUUCUGUACAAGGCUGCACCCACGUAAGAUGAUGAGCUGUCACCAUGGCUUGUGAAUCUGAAGAAGUAGAGUCCUCUCACUGGUGCUGUGAAGCAACCUGCAUCAGAGGAAACAGAGCGAGAUAAACACUCAGUCUUUCAUAGACACUGGAGCAGCCUGCUAGUGAUGUUGGACUCAGUGUCUGUAUCUGGUCCCUAUGGACAUGUGUGUUCAUACAUGUAGAUUGAUGUGUGUGCACUACCUGUAACUGGAAUGUAGGCCUGGCUGAUGUUAGUGAUGACAUUGGUUGAGAUCAGGGUGAUGUCAGUAGGCCUGGCUGAUGUUAGUGAUGACAUUGGUUGAGAUCAGGGUGAUGUCAGUAGGCCUGGCUGAUGUUAGUGAUGAUAUUGGUUGAGAUCAGGGUGAGGUCAGUAGGCCUGGCUGAUGUUAGUGAUGACAUUGGUGUAGAUCAGAAGGGUCCCACUGUACUACCUAAAGCAGCAGAGAAUGCCACCUUUGGUGUCUCUGUGAACACAGGAAAGUGUUAAUGAUUUUCAC
ensembl:lncRNA